CACCCUAGACCUACUAGGCAGAAACUCGGGGGGUGGGGGGCAGGGGGGAGGUAGCGCCAGUGGCAUGCUGGAGCCAGCUGCUAUUGGCUUACCAAAGCCAAACUGUGCAUGUCUCUUCUCAGGUCCCUGCUUAAUGACAUGUGUGGUAGCCUGAUAUUAGCUACAGAGGGAGUUACUUACACCACUGGAAUCAGCUCACAGUACAAGUCAGAACGUUUCCCUUCCUGUGGAGGAGAAACUAUGCCAUGAUGUGACCACUGCCUGACUGCUGCCUGACCUGCCAGCUAGAUCCUGGCUAGAAAGAGAUUGCUUCCUGAAAAUCCCCUCAAAGACUGUCUGAUUGACCCCUCCCCAUGCCCCAGAAAACCUUGCAGACUUUGCUGAACCACCUACAGCAGAGAGGAUGGGCAGUGACUCCACAGAAAAUUCAAGGUCUGGGCAUCGCAAUAACAUUUUUGGGAUUCAUAUGGUUGGGUGUGGGACCAAGAAUGUGAGCCAGAUCUGCAUGGAUUACAAAUUAUCUGAUCUGGUAGACAGAAUAAUAGCCCCUCAAAGAUGUUCCUGUUCUAACCCCCAGAACACGGGAAUAUGUGAGGUUAAGUGACAAAGGAGAACUAAGAUUGCAGCCCUCCCAACACCUUGAUUUUAGCUCAGUGAAAUUCAUAUCAGACUCUGACUUCCGGCACUGUAAGAUAAUACAUUUGUGUUGUUUAAGCCACUAAACUGUGGUAAUUCCAGUAAGAGUAAACUAAUACAGAUGGAUAAAUCCGUGUUUAAAAGUCCUAUACGUACUGCAAUU